rnacentral:rRNA from 1 species
GUGAGGAAUAUUGCACAAUGGGCGAAAGCCUGACCCAGCAACGCCGCGUGAGGGAAGAAGGUUUUCGGAUUGUAAACCUCUGUCCUUGGUGACGAACACAAUGACGGUAGCCAAGGAGGAAGCCCCGGCUAACUACGUGCCAGCAGCCGCGGUAAUACGUAGGGGGCGAGCGUUGUCCGGAAUUACUGGGCGUAAAGGGUGCGUAGGUGGCCUUUUAAGUUGGAUGUGAAAUACCCGGGCUUAACUUGGGGGGUGCAUCUAAUACUGGAGGGCUAGAGUGCAGGAGAGGGAAGCGGAAUUCCUAGUGUAGCGGUGAAAUGCGUAGAUAUUAGGAGGAACACCAGUGGCGAAGGCGGCUUUCUGGACUGUAACUGACACUGAGGCACGAAAGCGUGGGGAGCAAACAGGAUUAGAAACCCUGGUAGUCC